rnacentral:rRNA from 1 species
AGGGCGCAUGGCGGAUGCCUUGGCUCUCGGAGGCGAUGAAGGACGUGAUAAGCUGCGAUAAGCUUUGGGGAGGUGCAAAUGACCUUUGAUCCAGAGAUUUCCGAAUGGGACAACCCAAUAUCUUGAAGAGGUAUUAUCCAACGUUGUUGGAGGCUAACGCAGGGAACUGAAACAUCUUAGUACCUGCAGGAAAAGAAAAUAAACAAUGAUUCCCCCAGUAGUGGCGAGCGAACGGGGAACAGCCCAAACCAUCCAUGUUACGGCAUGGGUGGGGUUGUAGGACUACGCCGUUGCAUGAAGACAUCAGAGAAGAACUUUCUGGAAAGAAAGACCAUAGAGCAUGACAGUUGCGUAUUCGAAUGUUGUCGAAGCAUAGUAGUAUCCUGAGUAGCGCGGAGCACGAGGAAUUCUGCGUGAAUCUGCCGGGACCAUCCGGUAAGGCUAAAUACUCCCGAGAGACCGAUAGCGAACCAGUACCGUGAGGGAAAGGUGAAAAGCACUUCGAACAGAAGAGUGAAAUAGUUCCUGAAACCGUGCGCCUACAAGCGGUCGGAGCUCGUUAAUGAGUGACGGCGUGCCUUUUGCAUAAUGAACCUACGAGUUGCCUUUGCCGGCAAGGUUAAGUGUGACGACACACGUAUCCGAAGCGAAAGCGAGUCUGAACAGGGCGUAUAGUCGGCAGUGGCAGACGCGAAACCAAGUGAUCUACCCUUGGCCAGGUUGAAGGCUGGGUAACACCAGCUGGAGGACCGCACCAAUAAGCGUUGAAAAGCUUCUGGAUGAGCUGAGGGUAGGGGUGAAAGGCUAAUCAAACUUGGAGAUAGCUCGUACUCCCCGAAAUGCAUUUAGGUGCAGCCUUGCGGGUUACUGAUGUGAGGUAGAGCGACUGAUAAGAUGCGAGGGCUUCACCGCCUAUCAAGUCUUGACAAACUCCGAAUGCGCAUCAGUUCUACCGCAGGAGUGAGGGCAUGGGUGCUAAGGUCCGUGCCCGAGAGGAGAAGAAUCCGGACCACCUGCUAAGGUCCCGAAAUGACAGCUAAGUUAAACUAACGAAGUCUGACUGCUAAGACAGCUAGGAUGUUGGCUUGGAAGCAGCCAUUCAUUUAAAGAGUGCGUAACAGCUCACUAGUCGAGGAGUCGGGCGUGGAUAAUAAUCGGGUAUUAAGUUGUCUACCGAAGCAGUGGGAUCAUUAAUAUGAUCGGUAGGGGAGCAUUCCAGUCAGCGUCGAAGGCGUACCGUGAGGUAUUCUGGAGCGUCUGGAAAAGCAAAUGUAGGUAUAAGUAACGAUAAAGGGGGCGGGAAACCCCCUCGCCGAAAGACUAAGGUUUCCUGAUCAACGCUAAUCGGAUCAGGGUCAGUCGGGUCCUAAGGCUCAGCCGAACGGCGAUGCCGAUGGCAGAAACGGUUAAUAUUCCGUUACUACCUUCAGGAGUGACGUGGAGACGCAGUAGUGACAGUGCCGCCAUCUGACGGAAUAGAUGGUUGAAGGGUGUAGGAGUCGAUCAUGGCAGGCAAAUCCACCAUGAGAUCCGAACCUGACAGUAUGCCGCGUCCUUCGGGACAAGGCAAUAGUGCGCGUAAGCAUGCUGCCGAGAAAAUCCGCUAAACUUAAUCCUGCAGGUACCCGUACCGCAAACGGACACACGUAGUCGGGAUGAAUAUUCUAAGGCGCUUGAGUGAUUCACGGUUAAGGAACUAGGCAAACUGACCCUGUAACUUCGGGAUAAAGGGUCCCUACCCUUUUAUGGGAGGGCGCAGAGAAUCGGUCCAGGCAACUGUUUAACAAAAACACAGGGCUGUGCCAAAUCGAAAGAUCCAGUAUACAGCCUGACACCUGCCCGGUGCUGGAAGGUUAAGAGGAGAUGUCAUCGAUAAGAGAAGCGUUGAAUUGAAGCCCCAGUAAACGGCGGCCGUAACUAUAACGGUCCUAAGGUAGCGAAAUUCCUUGUCGGGUAAGUUCCGACCUGCACGAAUGGUGUAAUGAUCUGGACGCUGUCUCAACCGUGAGCUCAGUGAAAUUGUAGUAUCGGUGAAGAUGCCGAUUACCCGCGAUGGGACGAAAAGACCCCGUGAACCUUUACUAUAGCUUAUCAUUGAAUCUGGGCACGUGAUGUGUAGGAUAGGUCGGAGGCUUUGAAGCAGGUACGCCAGUAUUUGUGGAGCCGCUGUUGAAAUACGACCCUUUAUUUGUUUGGAUUCUAACCCGUGGAUACGGGGACAUUGAUUGGUGGGUAGUUUGACUGGGGUGGUCGCCUCCAAAAGCGUAACGGAGGCUUCUAAAGGUGCCCUCCGGCCGAUUGGUAACCGGCCUUAGAGUGUAAUGGCAUAAGGGCGCUUGACUGGGAGACUGACAAGUCGAUCAGGUAGGAAACUAGAGCAUAGUGAUCCGGUGUUUCCGUAUGGAAGGGACAUCGCUCAAAGGAUAAAAGGUACUCCGGGGAUAACAGGCUGAUCCCUCCCAAGAGCUCAUAUCGACGGAGUGGUUUGGCACCUCGAUGUCGGCUCGUCACAUCCUGGGGCUGGAGAAGGUCCCAAGGGUUGGGCUGUUCGCCCAUUAAAGUGGCACGCGAGCUGGGUUCAGAACGUCGUGAGACAGUUCGGUCUCUAUCUAUCGUGGGCG